AUUCUUGUCCUGGACCCUGAGCUAAUUUUAGACUGAGGAGACUUGCCGUGUCAGAUACUAUAACCCACUUUUC
rnacentral:tRNA from 1 species